CAGCAGCCGCGGUAAUACGAAGGGGGCUAGCGUUGCUCGGAAUGACUGGGCGUAAAGGGCGCGUAGGCGGAUUGUUUAGUUAGGCGUGAAAUUCCUGGGCUUAACCUGGGGACUGCGCUUAAUACAGGCAGUCUAGAGUGAGGAAGAGGGUUGUGGAAUUCCCAGUGUAGAGGUGAAAUUCGUAGAUAUUGGGAAGAACACCGGUGGCGAAGGCGGCAACCUGGUCCUUGACUGACGCUGAGGCGCGAAAGCGUGGGGAGCAAACAGGAUUAGAUACCCGCGUAGUCCCUGUCUCUUAUAC
rnacentral:rRNA from 1 species